AGAACGAACGCUGGCGGCAGGCCUCAAACAUGCAAGUCUAGGGGGUGUAGCAAUACAUCACCGGCGGACGGGUGCGUAACACGUGGGAAUAUACCUUUUGGUUCGGAACAACGCAGGGAAACUUGCGCUAAUACCGAAUGUGCCCUUACGGGGAAAGAUUUAUCGCCAAAGGAUUAGCCCGCGUAGGAUUAGCUAGUUGGUGAGGUAAUGGCUCACCAAGGCUCCGAUCCUUAGCUGUUCUGAGAGGAAGAUCAGCCACACUGGGACUGAGACACGGCCCAGACUCCUACGGGAGGCAGCAGUUGGGAAUCUUGGACAAUGGGGAAACCCUGAUCCAGCCAUGCCGCGUGAGUGAUGAAGGCCUUCGGGUUGUAAAACUCUUUCGACGGGGACGAUAAUGACGGUACCCGUAGAAGAAGCUCCGGCUAACUUCGUGCCAGCAGCCGC
rnacentral:rRNA from 1 species